rnacentral:rRNA from 1 species
UACGGGGGGGGCAAGCGUUGUCCGGAAUUACUGCGCGUAAAGAGCUCGUAGGUGGUUUGUCGCGUUGUCCGUGAAAACUCACAACUCAAUUGUGGGCGUGCGGGCGAUACGGGCAGACUGGAGUACUGCAGGGGAGACUGGAAUUCCUGGUGUAGCGGUGGAAUGCGCAGAUAUCAGGAGGAACACCGGUGGCGAAGGCGGGUCUCUGGGCAGUAACUGACGCUGAGGAGCGAAAGCGUGGGGAGCGAACAGG